rnacentral:rRNA from 1 species
AAAUUGAAGAGUUUGAUCAUGGCUCAGAUUGAACGCUGGCGGCAGGCCUAACACAUGCAAGUCGAACGGUAACAGGAAGCAGCUUGCUGCUUCGCUGACGAGUGGCGGACGGGUGAGUAAUGUCUGGGAAACUGCCUGAUGGAGGGGGAUAACUACUGGAAACGGUAGCUAAUACCGCAUAACGUCGCAAGACCAAAGAGGGGGACCUUCGGGCCUCUUGCCAUCGGAUGUGCCCAGAUGGGAUUAGCUAGUAGGUGGGGUAAUGGCUCACCUAGGCGACGAUCCCUAGCUGGUCUGAGAGGAUGACCAGCCACACUGGAACUGAGACACGGUCCAGACUCCUACGGGAGGCAGCAGUGGGGAAUAUUGCACAAUGGGCGCAAGCCUGAUGCAGCCAUGC